rnacentral:lncRNA from 1 species
CACAGACACAGAUCACAGUUUUUAUCUUCUCUGAUUGCUCAGCCCUCGAGAUCUGUAUAUUACUGCAGAAAUAUCCUGCUGGGAAAAGGCUGCAUAAAUUCUGGCCACCCUGUAAAUCCCACACUGAAGACUCACUUGGGAAGAAGACACAAAAUGUUGUGCUGGCUCUCUGAGUGAAGGUUGUGCAACCUGCCUCUCCAAGGUCAGACAAGCAUCCUUCCAAAGCCUCUAGCUCUGAUUCUGUUUCUUCAAGCACACAAGCUUACAGGUGGACAUAGAAUUCCUGUUCACUCCUGGUCCUGUGGACAUCCUGAAUCCCUGCUGAGAGCCUUGUUCCUGUUUCUUUAUAGACAUUCUUCCAGUUCUUUGCUGAUGUCAUAUCCUCAGUUUUCAUUAUUAAAUACCCAUUGUGGGCUUUGGCUCCUACAGGUAAAUAUUCAGGAUCUUCCACUUUAUGUCAACUUUUCCAGAGUACCACAAAAGCUGUUAGAGGAAUUAAUCACCUUUUGAUUUCCAUGGGACAGUGGAAAACCUGUGAGAGAGAACUUAGGCAAUGAUAUCUGUUAUUAUCACCCUUCUGAAACUCACCACCGCUGAGUGAAAAUGAGCUUUGUGAAGGU